rnacentral:piRNA from 1 species
CAUGAAGUCUGAGGAAAACAGA